rnacentral:rRNA from 1 species
UAAUAUAUUUUCACAGCCGCGGUAAUACGUAGGGUACAAGCGUUGUCCGGAAUUAUUGGGCGUAAAGAGCUUGUAGGUGGUUGGUCACGUCUGCUGUGGAAACGCAACGCUUAACGUUGCGCGUGCAGUGGGUACGGGCUGACUAGAGUGCAGUAGGGGAGUGUGGAAUUCCUGGUGUAGCGGUGAAAUUCGCAGAUAUCAGGAGGAACACCGGUGGCGAAGGCGGGACUCUGGCCACUAACUGACCCUGAGGAGCGAAAGCAUGGGGAGCGAACAGGAUUAGAUACCCUUGUU